rnacentral:rRNA from 1 species
GACGAACGCUGGCGGCGUGCCUAAUACAUGCGAGUUGAGCGAUGAAGAUUGGUGCUUGCACCAAUUUGAAGAGCAGCGAACGGGUGAGUAACGCGUGGGGAAUCUGCCUUUGAGCGGGGGACAACAUUUGGAAACGAAUGCUAAUACCGCAUAACAACUUUAAACAUAAGUUUUAAGUUUGAAAGAUGCAAUUGCAUCACUCAAAGAUGAUCCCGCGUUGUAUUAGCUAGUUGGUGAGGUAAAGGCUCACCAAGGCGAUGAUACAUAGCCGACCUGAGAGGGUGAUCGGCCAAAAUGGGACUGAGACACGGCCCAAACUCCUACGGGAGGCAGCAGGAGGGAAUCUUCGGCAAUGGACGAAAGUCUGACCGAGGAACGCCGCGUGAGUGAAGAAGGUUUUCGGAUCGUAAAACUCUGUUGGUAGAGAAGAACGUUGGUGAGAGUGGAAAGCUCAUCAAGUGACGGUAACUACCCAGAAAGGGACGGCUAACUACGUG